UACGUAGGGUGCAAGCGUUGUCCGGAAUUAUUGGGCGUAAAGAGCUCGUAGGCGGUCUGUUGCGUCGGCUGUGAAAACCCGGGGCUCAACUCCGGGCCUGCAGCCGAUACGGGCAGACUAGAGUUCGGCAGGGGAGACUGGAAUUCCUGGUGUAGCGGUGAAAUGCGCAGAUAUCGAGAGGAACACCUGCGGCGAAGGCGGGUUGCUGGGCUGACACGUGACGCUGAUGCGCGAAAGCCAGGGGAGCGAACGGG
rnacentral:rRNA from 1 species